rnacentral:rRNA from 1 species
UCGAGAAUCUUCCGCAAUGGACGCAAGUCUGACGGAGCGACGCCGCGUGCGGGAUGAAGGCCUUCGGGUUGUAAACCGCUGUCAGUUGGGAGGAAAUGCAUAAGGGUUCUCUCUUAUGUUUGACCGAUCUUCAGAGGAAGUACGGGCUAAGUUCGUGCCAGCAGCCGCGGUAACACGAACCGUACGAACGUUAUUCGGAAUCACUGGGCUUAAAGGGUUCGUAGGCGGCUAUGUAGGUGGGGUGUGAAAUCCCUCGGCUCAACCGAGGAACUGCGCUCCAAACCACAUGGCUCGAGGGAGACAGAGGUAAGCGGAACUGAUGGUGGAGCGGUGAAAUGCGUUGAUAUCAUCAGGAACACCAGUGGCGAAGGCGGCUUACUGGGUCUCUUCUGACGCUGAGGAACGAAAGCUAGGGGAGCGAACGGGAUUAGAUACCCCCGUAGUCC